UGGUUCUGGCAUCGAUGAAGAACGCAGCGAAAUGCGAUACGUAAUGUGAAUUGCAGAAUUCAGUGAAUCAUCGAAUCUUUGAACGCACAUUGCGCCCGCCAGCAUUCUGGCGGGCAUGCCUGUUCGAGCGUCAUUACAACCCUCGUUGCCCCCCUUCGGGGCGCGGUGUUGGGGGACGGCCCGGGCCCUUCGGGGCGGGGCCGCCCCCGAAAUGGAUCGGCGGCAACGGCGUCCGCCUCCCCUGCGUAGUAGCACAGCAUCUCGCAACGGGAGCGCGCCGCGGCCACUGCCGUAAAACGCACAACCUUUUAAGAGUUGACCUCGGAUCAGGUAGGAAUACCCGCUGA
rnacentral:misc_RNA from 1 species